AUGCAGCUGCCAGGCUUGAUUGUUUUUAGUCUCAUGUUGGUUCCUGCCUGUAACUCAAAAGGUGAAAAAUGGAAUCUAACUGUCAGUAGAAAUAUCACUGCUGAAAAGGGCUCAAACAUUACCAUACCGUGCAACUUCACCUAUCCAUCAAAGCAUCACACGGACAAUGUUAGUGUCUACUGGAAAAAGUGGGGCCAAAGCUUAUGCAGCAAGAAUGACAAAGAUACUAAUGCAUUCAUUUAUCACCCGAAUGAGUUGUGUGUGGUUGAGAAGUACAGGAGAAGGACUUUACUCGAAGGGGAUAAAGCCAGAGGAAGCUGCUCCCUCAAAAUCUUAAACAUCACCAGCAAUGAAUUGGACAUCUACGUGAGAAUUUCUGUCAAAGGUGACAACUACAGCUUCAAAGGGAACUCUGUCUCUAUUUUUGUCAAAGGGUCAGGUUAUGAAGCAGUCACCUCAAACCCAGACAGUUUCUCAUCUUUCACCCUUGAAGACACGACAAUGGAGGUGAUCCUAAAUACUUCGACAACCAUGUAUUUGGCCAUCUUUAUACCUCUUGCUACACUUGUAAUCAUUCUUCUUGUGGCUGGAAUUUCCAUUAUCGCAAAACGCAGAAGGUCUCAGACUUUGACCAGGGAGGAAUCUGGAUACUACGUAAACUUCAGCAGAGCCUCCUCUAGCCCACCCAGUGAAUCAUGUUCUAAAAAAGACGUGAAUUGUCCUCAACCAAAAGUCAUUGAUGAUCCUGUCUACGCCAAUGUUCAGAACCCAACAGGUCAAAUGAACCAGAAUAUGGAUACCACGGACAACAUAUAUGUAAAUGUGGAUUAUUCAAAAUAGCACAAAUGCUGCACAACUGUACUUUAAUUUAUCAACUCUGAUAGCUGUCUUUAGUACAUUAGAAUCAGACUCCAGAUUUGGACAGUUUUACAUUGACAAUAACAAGGAAACAAUGUGAACAGAAGUAUUAUUCAUAUCAUGUUAGAACAAUGUAAAUAAUCCACUGCUUCUUAAAUGAUUUUUAGUUUCAUUCGUUCAUGGCUUUGUCAUUGUAUAAGCACAAUAAUUAGCUAGAUAGCAGAAUGUGGCUACUGCUGAUAAUGUUGGAGGAGAUGUGGGGGAUUCACUGAGUCACAAGACUCCACUGUUUGUAGUAGACAGUCCAAUGCAAACAGUACUGCCAGCCUGUUUACAUGCCUUCACCAGCAUGCAAAGCUUUCUAUCACUCAUUCAAUCUGCAUAAGCGUGUAAAUAUCUGAGCUUCCAAAGGUUGACAGCAGGCCUUCCACACAGCGCAGCUUGUAUUACCUGCCAGUGUCAGUGUUGCAGCACUGACUGUUGCAGGAAAUGAUGAUAAUAAGCCUUUAGCCCUUUGCAACGUUGAAGUUCUGUUUUCUGUGGAAUUUAUAAUGCAUGGUUAAUAGUUAAUAGCGUAUAUACAGCAGGCUGUAACAUGUUAAUCAGUUUUGCUCCUUUUUUUUAAACAAGAUUUAAUUUAUUGCCCCGUGAUAGCAUGUUAAAUUCAUAGACGUUACCAAAAAUAAAGCAUAAAAAGGUGAUCGUCUCUUGUCA
rnacentral:lncRNA from 1 species